rnacentral:rRNA from 1 species
GGACCCGCACAAGUAGUGGAGCAUGUGGUUUAAUUCGAAGAUACGCGCAGAACCUUACCAACACUUGACAUGUUCGUCGCGACUUUAAGAGAUUAAAGUUUUCGGUUCGGCCGGACGAAACACAGGUGCUGCAUGGCUGUCGUCAGCUCGUGUCGUGAGAUGUUGGGUUAAGUCCCGCAACGAGCGCAACCCUUACUUUUAGUUGCCAUCAUUCAGUUGGGCACUCUGAAAGAACUGCCAGUGAUAAGCUGGAGGAAGGUGGGGAUGACGUCAAGUCCUCAUGGCCCUUACGUGUUGGGCUACACACGUGCUACAAUGGUAUUUACAACAGGAAGCAAGACGGCAACGUUUAGCAAAUCCUAAAAAGAUACCUCAGUUCGGAUUGCACUCUGCAACUCGAGUGCAUGAAGCUGGAAUU